CCCCACCCGUUCCCAUCCCGAACACGGUAGUUAAGCUUCUCUGCGCCAAUGGUAGUUGGGGGCUUCCCCCUGCGAGAGUAGGUCGCUGCCGGGC
rnacentral:rRNA from 1 species